rnacentral:rRNA from 1 species
UACGUAGGGUGCAGGCGUUAAUCGGAAUUACUGGGCGUAAAGCGUGCGCAGGCGGUCUGCUAAGAGAGAUGUGAAAUCCCCGGGCUUAACCUGGGAACUGCGUUUCUAACUGGCAGGCUUGAGUGCGGCAGAGGGGGGUGGAAUUCCACGUGUAGCAGUGAAAUGCGUAGAGAUGUGGAGGAACACCGAUGGCGAAGGCAGCCCCCUGGGUCGACACUGACGCUCAUGCACGAAAGCGUGGGGAGCAAACAGGAUUAGAAACCCCCGUAGUCC